GGCUGGUCCGAGUGCAGUGGUGUUUACACCAGUUACAGAUUUCUUUGUUCCUUCUCCACUCCCACUGCUUCACUUGACUAGCCUUUA
ensembl:Y_RNA Y_RNA Y RNA